CAAAGCGACCCCAGGUCAGGCGGGCUACCCC
rnacentral:rRNA from 1 species